ACUCAUCACAAUCUUUUCAUCCUAGCAGUGCCCUGCGGUAAUCACUCAGAGGAGGCUCUUCCUUGCCUACAUGGGAGCAUUAGAGGCCCUCCAUUGUGCUGAGGAUUUUGUCAGUAAUGUCAUCACUACAGCACAGGGCAGAUCUGCACCCAUCUUGCUAUCUGCGUCUUCCAUGGGUCAGAGGUCUACAGGAAGCUCCACAACACCUCCUCUCUGCUCAUUUCUUCUUCCAGAGAAGUCAGAGCGUGCAAUGUGGAGGAAUGGGAUGAGCUCCCUCCAUCACACAGGUGGAAAAGGGAAGCGAUGCUCUGCUCACACACUGGCCAAUGACACCGUGAGAUUAAACCACUCUCAAGAAAAAAAGCCUUCAGAUUUAUUUCUGGAAGAGAGUUUUGAGUUUCAAGACCAGUAAUAACUUAUACAGGGACAUGGUAUAGCUGUUAGUUUCAGUAUCUCUUAUUUACAUAUGAGAAGUGUUUAAUGCCAGGAUUCUUUACUGCUUUGCUUUGUGUCUUGGGGACUCCACUGAGUGUAGGUCUACAGACCCAGUGAGGGUCUACAAGAUUAUACAGAGGGGAAGAUCUUUGUGAGCGAUAUUGGAAGAAUUAUUUAUUUAUUUAUUUUAAGGAGAGUAACUGUGGGUAAAGUACAAAUUGGAAACAUUUCUUAAAAGAGAACUACUUGGGAAGAGGUCAUAUACAUCAAUCCUAUUAUCUAGAAAAAUGCUCUGCUUUUACAAAGUUUUCACUACUCAAGUUAAACACCGCUUCUUUUAUAGAGGAAUUCUGUAUGGGGCAAGGGCAGAAAAUGUGAUUAUUCAGUCCUGGGUGAAUGUUUCCUCUGAACAUCAUGACUGAAAACCACGGAAGCAAAACAGCAUUUUUGUUCAUUUAUUAAGUGAACUCAAUUGCCCUUAUAUUUAGUUGUGUUAUUGUCACUCCUUUUGUUCCACACACACCGAUGGGACUUGGUACUUCAACUUUGAAAAGGAGGUUUACUGGAAUAGAGGCUGUUUAGGACGGAGCAAGUUUUGGCUGAAGAUGAGCAUUUCUGUGAAAGCAGUUAGGCAGAGAACAGAAAGCUGCUGGUGUCAGAGUCAGCACUGCCCAAGGACAUGUCCCGCAGGCUGCUGUAAGGCACAGCUGCAGGUGGAUCCACACCUGCCUGCAGCUCCGUGUGAGGAGCAGGAUCUUGGGAGAAACAUCCUCAGGGCUUGCUCCACUGCAGCGACAGCCCUACCAGCAUCCAGCAGCAGAGGCCCCCCUACGCUUUGGGUUCCCGGAGGCUUGUAGUAACCGAAGACGAGCAGGGCUGGUUUACCUUACAGAGCAGCCUGAUUCACCAGCAAGAACUGUGUCUUUCUGAGGGUGGGGGCAGUAGCUGACCCACCCCUCUGAUUUUAGUCAAUGUCC
rnacentral:lncRNA from 1 species